UACGUAGGGUGCGAGCGUUGUCCGGAAUUACUGGGCGUAAAGAGCUCGUAGGUGGUUUGUCGCGUUGUUCGUGAAAACUCGGAGCUCAACUCCGAGCCUGCGUUCGAUACUGGACGGCUAGAGUCUGGUAGGGGGAUCUGGAAUUCCUGGUGUAGCGGUGGAAUGCGCAGAUAUCAGGAGGAACACCGGUGGCGAAGGCGGGAUCCUGGGCCAGUACUGACGCUGAGGAGCGAAAGCGUGGGGAGCAAACAGG
rnacentral:rRNA from 1 species